GCCCGUAUAGCUCAGUGGUAGAGCGCGUCACUCGUAGGACCUUUGCCUCAGGGUCUAGCUAUGAUACGUAUGACGAGGUCCACGGUUCAAUCCCGUGUGGGGGCA